rnacentral:lncRNA from 1 species
UUUUUUUGUUUUUGGGUUUUACUUUUUUCCUAUUUUUGUUUUAUUCUAUGUCAAAAUAAUUUGGCAUCAAAAAAAGUUCUAAAAAUUUAAAAGAACUGUGAAUUUUUAAUAUUUAGAUGAACAUUUUUUAAUUUUAACGAACAUUUUUAUGAGGAUUUUUAAUACUGACGAACAACUUUUUGUAUUUGAUGAACAAAUUUUGAAUUUGAUGAGCAUUUUUUGACCUUGAUGAACAUAAUUUGUAUUCAAGAACAUUUUUAGAAAAAUGAUGAACACAUUUUUUAUUCAAUGAACAAAUGUUGAAUUUGAUGAACAAAAUUUGUAUUCCAGAACAUUUUUGUGAAAAAGAUGAACAAUUUUUUAUUCAAUGAACAAAUUUUGAAUUUGAUGAACACUUUUUGAAAAAUGCUGAACACAUUUUUUAUUCAAUGAACAAAUGUUGAAUUUAACUACGCCUAUGGUGUCUCAAUAUAGCCGGUCCCAAGCCCGGGCAAAGGAGGAGGGUUGUGAUAGGCUUGGCGAGCCAGCAUAAAAACUCAGCCACUCUAUGGAGAUGAAACCCAAAAGAUUUUCAUUGGGGCGUGACCUUCUCAGCGACGCGCCACAUCGGAACCCGGGUGUGGUGGCAAAUGUUUGGCAAGGGUCGGGCCGUCACCCCCUGGUGGCGCGCCGUAUCUUGAUCUGGAUAUGGUGGCAAGUGAGCGAGGAUCCGGUCGUCGCAUCCUUAGUGGUGCGCUACAUCGGCGCCCGGAUGUAGUGGAAAAUGAGCAAGGGUCUUCGCAUUUGACUCGACGAGUGCAAAGGGUAAGGAAGGUAGCCGAGCCUAGGAGGAUUCACUUAGGUAGCUAGAACGUAGAGUCUCUAACAGGGAAGCUUCGAGAGCUUGUGGAUGCAGCAGUGAGGAGAGGUGUUGAUAUCCUUUGCUUCCAACAAACCAAAUGGAGGGGACAGAAGGCGAAGGAGGUGGAGGAUACCAGCUUCAAGCUAUGGUACACGGGGACGGCUGCUAAUAGAAAUGGCGUAGGUAUAUUGAUCAACAAGAGCCUCAAGUAUGGAGUGAUAGACGUCAAGAGACGUGGGGACCGGAUUAUCCUGGUCAAGCUGGUAGUUGGGGACUUAGUUCUCAAUGUUAUCAGCGCGUAUGCCCCACAAGUAGGCCACAAUAAGAACACCAAGAGAGAGUUCUAGGAAGGCCUAGAAGACAUGGUUAGGAGUGUACCGGUUGGUGAGAAGCUCUUCAUAGGAGGAGACCUCAAUGGCCACGUGGGUACAUCUAACAUGGGUUUUGAAGGGGCGCAUGGGGGCUUUGGCUAUGGCAUCAGGAAUCAAGAAGUAGAAGAUGUCUUAAGCUUUGCUCUAGCCUACGACAUGAUUGUAGCUAACACCCUCUUUAGAAAGAGAGAAUCACAUCUGGUGACUUUUAGUAGUGGCCAACACUCUAGCCAUAUCGAUUUCAUCCACUCGAGAAGAGAAGAUGGGCGUGCGUGCCUAGACAAUAAGGUGAUACCUGGAGAGAGUGUUCUACCCUAGCAUAAGCUGGUGGUUGAUGACUUCCACUUUCGGAUUCGUGUCCAGCGGGAUAAGCGUGCCAGAGUCACUAGAAUGAAGUGGUGGAAGCUCAAGGGGGAGGUAGCUUAGGCGUUCAGGAGAGGUGCGUUAAGGAGGGCCCUUGGGAGGAAGGAGGCGAUGCGAACAAUGUGUGGAUGAAGAUGGCAACUUGCAUUCGUAAGGUGGCCUCAGAGGAGUUUGGAGUGUCCAAGGGAAGGAGAAGCGGAGAUAAGGAUACCUGGUGGUGGAAUGAUGAUGUCCAGAAGGCGAUUAAAGAGAAGAAAGAUUGCUUGAAACGCCUAUACCUGGAUAGGAGUGCAGACAACAUAGAGAAUUACAAGAUGGCGAAGAAGGCCGCAAGGCGAGAUGUCAGUGAAGCAAGGGGCCGAGCAUAUGAGGAGCUCUACCAACGGUUAGGCAUGAAGGAAGGCGAAAGGGAGAUCUAUAAGAUGGCCAAGAUCCGAGAGAGGAAGACGAGGGAUAUUGGCCAAGUCAAAUGCAUCAAGGACGGAGCAGACCAACUCUUGGUGAAGGACGAGAAGAUUAAGCAUAGAUGGCGGGAGUACUUCGACAAGUUGUUCAAUGGGGAGAAUGAGAGUUCUACCAUUGAACUGGACGAUUCCUUUGAUGAGACCAGCAUGCGCUUUGUGCGGCAAAUCCAGGAGUCCGAGGUCAAGGAGGCGCUAAAAAGGAUGAAAGGAGGCAAGGCAAUGGGCCCUGAUUGUAUCCCCAUUGAGGUGUGGAAAGCCUCGGGGACAUAGUGAUAGUAUGACUAACCAAGCUUUUCAACCUCAUUUUUUGGGCAAACAAGAUGCCAGAAGAAAGGAGACUAAGUAUAUUAGUACCAAUCUUCAAGAACAAGGGGGAUGUUCAGAGUUGUACUAUUUACCGUGGAGUUGAGCUGAUGAGCCAUACAAUGAAGCUAUGGGGGAGAGUCAUUGAGCACCUCUUAAGAAGAAUGACAAGCGUGACCAAAAAUCAGUUUGGUUUCAUGCCUGGGAGGUCGACCAUGCAAGCCAUUUUCUUGGUACGACAAAUUAUUGGAGAGAUACAGGGAGCAAAAGAAGGACUUGCAUAUGGUGUUCAUUGACUUGGAGAAGGCCUAUGAUAAGAUGUCGCGGAAUGUCAUGUGGUGGGCCUUGGAGAAACAUAAAGUACCAGCAAAGUACAUUACCCUCAUCAAGGACAUGUACGAUAAUGUUGUGACAAGUGUUCGAACAAGUGAUGUCAAGACUGAUGACUUCCCGAUUAAGAUAGGACUGCACCAGGGGUCAGCUUUGAGCCCUUAUCUUUUUGCCUUGGUGAUGUAUGAGGUCACAAUGGAUAUACAAGGAGAUAUCCCAUGGUGUAUGCUCUUUGCGGAUGAUGUGGUGCUACUUGACGAUAGUCGGACGGGGGUAAAUAGGAAGUUAGAGUUAUGGAGACAACCUUGGAAUCGAAAGGGUUUAGACUUAGUAGAACUAAAACCGAGUAUAUGGUGUGCGGUUUCAGUACUACUAGGUGUGAGGAGGAGGAGGAAGUUAGCCUUGAUGGGCAGGUGGUACCUCGGAAGCACACCUUUCGAUAUUUAGGAUCAAUGCUUCAGGAGGAUGGGGGUAUUGAUGAAGAUGUGAACCAUCGAAUCAAAGCCGGAUGGAUGAAGUGUCGCCAAGCUUCUGGCAUUCUCUGUGACAAAAGAGUGCCACAAAAGGUAAAAGGCAAAUUCUACAGGACGGCGGUUCGACCUACAAUGUUGUAUGGCGCUGAGUGUUGGCCGGCUAAAAGGCGACAUGUUCAACAGUUAGGUGUGGCGGAGAUGCGUAUGUUGAGAUGGAUGUGUGGCCACACGAGAAAGGAUCGAGUCCGAAAUAAUGAUAUACGAGAUAGAGUUGGGGUAGCACCAAUUGAAGAGAAGGUUGUCCAACAUCGUCUGAGAUGGUUUGGGCAUAUUCAACGCAGACCUCCAGAAGCUCCAGUGCAUAGCGGACGGCUAAAGCGUGCGGAGAAUGCCAAGAGAGGGCGGGGUAGACCGAAUUUGACAUGGAAGGAGUCCGUUAAGAGAGACCUGAAGGAUUGGAGUAUCACCAAAGAACUAGCUAUGGACAGGGAUGCGUGGAAGCUUGCUAUCCAUGUGCCAGAGCCAUGAGUUGGUCGCGAGAUCUUAUGGGUUUCACCUCUAGCCUACCCCAAUUUGUUUGGGACUAAAGACUUUGUUGUUGUUGUUGAACAAAAAUUGAAUUUGAUGAACAAAAUUUGUAUUCCAGGACAUUUUUAAAAAAAAGAUGAACAAUUUUUUAUUCAGUGAACAAUUUUUUUAAUUUGAUGAACAUUUUUUGAAAACAGUGAACAAAAACAGGUUGUGUGGGCAUUAGUCGGCAGAUACCCAGAAAUAUUUCAUCUAAAUUAUAAUCACCAGCUGUUUAUAAACUUCUCGCUGUGUGCUGAUUCUACUCUAACGUUUUAAUUCUGAUGAUGAGUCGCGCACGUGACAGCCUUGAGAAAUCAUCAACCACCGUGGCACACACGUUGUGUGGAGGGUGCACUGAGAUCUAGCUCGAGCUACUAUCCCCGCGUCGCGUCCGCGCGCGGGAGCCGGACACGACACCACGACUCGGCUACACCGCUGCACCACGGAUGCCGUUCUACCGGUGGCUAGAGCUUGGAACUGAAUCUACAUUCACGCACCGGCCAGCAGAGACAAGACAUGCACUGCAUGAAAACAUGGACAAAGAUCCACACAAAUGGAGAUUCCAUAUCGACAUCAUCAACGUACAAAACAGCCACCGCAACUAAUCACAACUCUCACUCAUGGCACACAGUACAAAUCAGGUCCCGAUCGAUUAUUUCGCCACCAGCAGCACGAACUCAUCUAGUAGCAGUACAAUCUCCGUGCCGCGGCGCGGUGCACGCGGAUCACGGGGCCGACACGCACGGCCCCGCAACUUAUUGCUACCACCACCCGCCACCAACCACAACACACGAGGAGGCCGGCGUACUCGAUCUUACGCAUCGGCGGCGCCAUCGGCUGGGCAGCGGUCGACGACGGCCUCCAGCUUGUAGGGCGCGGCGUCGGUGGCGAGCCACUGCUCGACGGUGAAGAGCUGCUGGGCGCAGCCGCGGUGCGGGCCGGUGACGGUGACCUCCACGUAGUUGCAGUACCAGCCGUGGUGCGCGCCGGUGCCGUCGGAGGACACCCUCAUGCGGCAGGGCGCGCUGGCCAUGCACGGCCCGCGCCCGCUGAAGAUGUCGAGGUUGCCGCGCUCGAAAUAGGAGUGGCCCUGCCACAUGAGCCCGCCCCACGACGGCAGGUCCGAGAUAGCCACGCCGUCGGCGUUGCCCGCGGUGUAGAGCUC